UCCACAUAACGGCUUGAUAUCGACAACUGAAGAAACCGUUAACAAUUACGUCAGUACAACGUUAAUUAAUUUGUUUAAAUUAUUAAUGUAAUAAUUUAACAAAAUGAUUGAAAAGAUUCGUAAAAAAUUGUUAGUAACGAAUCAAUCAAACAAGGUUGCAGUAAUUAAUGAACUCAUUAAAAAAAUCAACUCACUUGAUGGAGAAAACCGAGACUUAUUUAUUGUAAAUAUAAUAUCAGCUGAUAUCGCUAUUAUUUUAACAUACAAUUUGGCGCAGCACAAUGAAAAUCUUCAACGAUCGAUAUUAGUAUGCUGGGAAAUAUUAUCAGAACAUGAAUAUUUUUAUAAAAACAAUGUAGCGACUUCUGUUAUUAUGAAAAUAAUAGAAACUGGAUCAUUUCUUGGCAGAAAUGAAAUAACAGAGCAGCCUAUUUUGAAAAUUAUGACUCAUACUCUUUCUUUGAUAUUUUACCGGGCUCAGAAAUUAAAAUUUCCUUUGAGAAUUAUUGAGUACUUCGAUCCAUUAUUUACAUUUAUCGAUAGUUUAAAUAUUAAAGCUCCAGUUUCUAAUGCUGCUAAGAUUGUCAGUGCAGGGAAUCUUUUUUUUACUGUCCUCAGUGGUGUCGAUUUUGCUACAAUUAGUCUAGACAGAUUGCUGAUGAUCCAGACAUUUUAUAAAGAUAUUUUAGAUGUGAUUUCAAAAAUUAUUAUGGCACAGGAAAAUAACGAACCCAAAGAAUCAUUCAACAUUCUUUUUAAAACUGUUGUCAAUAUUUGCUGCACAGGAAUUAAUGUUACUAAUGAAGACACAGGAACAUUAAGUAGUGACUCGGAAGACUCGUACGCAAGUAAUUGUAACGAAAGAUUGGAAAUAUUUAAAAGUAUUUUAGAUAUUACGUGCAAAACGAUGUUGCAAAUUGUCAUCCCUAAUUUCAAAGAAAUUGAUGAAUCCAGCGAUGAAUUUGAAGAUUUUUUGAAACCUUUUGUUACAUCUUUGACUGUAUUGUAUGAGGAAAGAAAAAAUACAGACCGUGUAAAAAAAUUUUCAUUGGAUUUGUCAAUUCAAGGAUACUUGAAAUAUUUUCUUGAGAAAAUAAAAAACCAGUCGUUGAUUGAUAGCAGAAACUCAAUUUGUAAAUGUCUUGCAUACGUUUUGACGGAUCUUGCAAACAAUAAUUUGUCAAUGGAUCAGUGGCAAGAUGGCCUACGAGCAUUCUGCAAAUUUAUUUUUAAUGGACUCAUAUCUUACGCGGAAUCUGGGAAAUUGACGAGCGAUUCGGCGAGCGCUGAUGCUGUUCUUUUUUGCAUUUACUUUCAUUACCAUGCGACUGCUGACUCGCAAAUGAUUGAAGUCAUCAGCCAGAUGCCAUUGACACAAAAAAUUUUAAAAUUGUCGGUUGAAAAUUUACCACAAGUGCCUACAGUACAAAUUAUUUGGUUCCUUACUUCCGUAUGGAUGUUGGAAAGGAAGACGGGAGAUUCAGAUAAAUGUUUACCGGAUGCUUUAGCUCAUCUUAUUGAAAUCCUCGAAAAAGUGGGAGUAGAAAAAUGCUACAUAUGUUAUCCGGCUUUGGUUGUCACUGCGCUUCAGAAUUCAAUAUUUCCACGAGAAAUUCAGCAUCAAGUUGUUAAAUUAUGGCUGAAAACUGACGGUGACGUACAUGCGUUAGUCGAUGCAAGUCACAGACACGUCGUCGUUGGUUCUCUUAUCAAUGCUUUAAAAACUGGAACCAAAGAUGUAGUAGAGCGAGCUUGCAAAGAUUUAAUUAAAAUCGCAAAAGAUAAUAAUCCGAACUAUGAUUUUAUGCAAAUUGUGUGGCAGGAAAUCCCUCGUGUUUUAAUUACUUAUAAAAAAGAAAAUGAGCAUAAUCUCGAAGGAUUUUUAAAUCUGGCAAAUAAGUUAUCAACUGAUGAAUUUCCAGUUGAUCUUGCGAUCCAAUGCGUCGGAAGUUUCAUUAAAAUAUUUAGCCGUGAUGACGUGGAAGUUGAUUUAAACAUUAAAAAUUUGUUGAUUACAUUAACAAAUAAAAUGUUUUUGGUUGCUUCAGCUGCUAACGACAGCAGAGUUGUUCCGUCUAAUAUUACUGAUAAGGAUAUUCUGAAUAAGAUUCGUAAUCAAGCAUUCCAGGAUUCAAAUGAUGAUUUAUCAGCAGCCUGUUUCAAAUGCUUAGCCAAUAUCUUCGCUAAUCUUGUUCAAUUUUCUACGAAGCCACCACAGCCUUUAUCAGUAACGUCGACCGAGCUCAUAAAUGCUCUGUCCAAAGACACAUUUGUCUCAACCGAGGCCAUGAUGUUUCUAAAUAUUAUUUUCAUGAGCCAAAAAAACUUCCGCGACUAUUUGAUUAUUGAUUUCUGCCAACAAAAUGUCGAAGAAGAUUUAUAUGAAAUUUUCUACUCAAUGAUACAAAUUCACAACAAUGCAGUUCCGGUUAAAUGGAAAUUUACUUUUAAUUGUCUGACCAAUUUUUUGAUAUUCAUAAAAUUAAAUUAUCCUACUGCGCUGUACAGCUGCUGUGACGACAUGACCAUUCAUUUAACAAUCAUCAGAACCAUCGAUAACAAUUACGCGCAAGCAGAAUUUUUUAAAUUCGUUAACUUAUGGUUAGAGCACGGAUUGCAAUCCCACUCUUCGUUUGUCGAUGGUACUUUCAAAUUAAACCGUAUGAAAGAAUAUUCUCAAGAUAAUUUUAAGUUUGAAUGUACUUUUGAAAAAGCAUUGAAGCAACUGAAGACGCACAUCGAAAAACUUGAUCCUUCUAACGAUAUCCCAGUGAUUAUUCUUAAAAACCUUAAGCACAAAAUUUCGCUACUCGUCUAAAUUAACAUCUGAGGCGUAAAAAUGAAUUUGUAAAACGACAAUCGAGCAAGCCACCCUCUUUAUAUUGUCGGUGACAACGACAUACCUAUCUACGUACCUAUUUACUUCCGCUACAAACUUCCCCUCACAGUGAGUUUGAGAACAUUGUGAAUUCGUGAGUUACAGAAAAAAGGAGUCUGGAAAAAAAAUAUUAAAAAACUGGAGCAUUAUUAACGUCACAAGAUUCCUGAUCCUUUAGUGGAGUGAUUUAAGCCAGUGGACUGGAGGAAAGAGAAAACAGGAAGAGAAAUAUCGUGUUGUUUGCGGACAGCAUUUUAAAGAGAAACGAGGUAAAUAUUUAGUCGGUAUAAUUCUCGUGGAAUCGAAAAUCCUACUACCGCAAAUUUACGUAAUUUCUACGUCUAUGUUCUCUUUCCCCUCAUUUUACUCUUCCAAGUUUUAAAAAUAUUUUACAAGCAUUUUUAACUCGCCAACUAAUCCGAAUACUCUACGAACGUACAUUUAAUUCUCUCAUUAAGCUGUAAAAAAAAUUGUUAAAAAAAUUUAGCUACCCUGCGAAAAAAAAUUAAUUACUAUAUUAUAUUAUAUUAUAUUUGAUAUUAUCAUUCAUGACUAAAUAUUUCAACGAAAUAUAUUUUUUCAUACACAUGCCUCAGAAUAUCGCCAUUGUAUUUUAAAUAAUAUUUGGACACAUAUUUAUUUUAAUG